UUGGAGGGCAAGUCUGGUGCCAGCAGCCGCGGUAAUUCCAGCUCCAAUGGCGUAUAUUAAAGUUGUUGCAGUUAAAAAGCUCGUAGUUGAAUUUCGGGGUCUGUCCGUCGGUCGGGCUUCACGGUCCGUACUGGUGUGAUGGGUUCCUACCUUCUGAAUAACCGGCAUGCCAUUCAGUUGGUGCGCCGGGGAAGCAGAGCUAUUACCUUGAAAAAAUUGGGGUGCUUAAAGCAGGCUAGUGCUUGAAUAGAUUAGCAUGGAAUAACAAAAUAGGACGGCAUGGUUCUAUUUUGUUGGUUUCUAGGAUCACCGUAAUGAUUAAUAGGGAUAGUUGGGGGCAUUAGUAUUCAAUUGUCAGAGGCGAAAUUCUUGGAUUUAUUGAAGACUAACUUCUGCGAAAGCAUUUGCCAAGGAUGUUUUCAUUAAUCAAGAACGAAAGUUAGGGGAUCGAAGACGAUCAGAUACCGUCGUAGUCUUAACCAUAAACUAUGCCGACUAGGGAUCGGACGAUGUUAAUUUUUUAAUGACUCG
rnacentral:rRNA from 1 species